rnacentral:rRNA from 1 species
ACCUGCGGAAGGAUCAUUAUUGAGGGCGUAUGGGCUUAAUAACCCCUGCG